GACGAACGCUGGCGGCGUGCUUAACACAUGCAAGUCGAACGGUGAACCUCUUCGGAGGGGAUCAGUGGCGAACGGGUGAGUAACACGUGGGCAACCUGCCCCCGGCUCUGGGAUAACUCCAAGAAAUUGGGGCUAAUACCGGAUGUUCACCGCUUCCCGCAUGGGUGGUGGUGGAAAGGGUUUCCGGCUGGGGAUGGGCCCGCGGCCUAUCAGCUUGUUGGUGGGGUAGUGGCCUACCAAGGCGACGACGGGUAGCCGGCCUGAGAGGGUGACCGGCCACACUGGGACUGAGACACGGCCCAGACUCCUACGGGAGGCAGCAGUGGGGAAUAUCGCGCAAUGGGCGGAAGCCUGACGCAGCGACGCCGCGUGGGGGAUGACGGCCUUCGGGUUGUAAACCUCUUUCAGCAGGGACGAAGCGCAAGUGACGGUACCUGCAGAAGAAGCACCGGCCAACUACGUG
rnacentral:rRNA from 1 species